AUCGUUUUAAAUACCAGCGAGAAAAAAUCACUCUGUUCGCUUACGGUAACACAGCGCAUCUCAUCUGUAGUAUCGUGAACAGGGGAAGCUGGUGAGCGAACAUGAGAGCUAAGGUUGGUGGCCUUUUACCAAUUGUUUCAAUCCAUUCACUUUUAGUACUUUAUUUCGUUCCUUUUUUAGCUUUUGUUGGAAAUUACUAGUUACUCGAUCCUCUUAAGUGCACUUUCACAACCAAUUUCGUCUUUAAAAAAAAAAAAUUGCAGUGUCAAUCAUCGAUUUCCUAGUGUUAAACGGAGUGUUUAUCAUCUUUUUGUUACCUUGAUCCAUGAUAUUUUGAUUUUACUUGGAAUUUCGUAAGGCUGGUUUAUGGUUUUAUUGUUUAAUUGGCUAAGAACGUUCUCGUUCUAGUUGUACUGUAGCUGUUUCUUGGAUUCUUUUCGCCAAUCUCGUGUUGGAAUUUACAAGUGCUUGCCGUUCUAUAAUAUCACGCUAGACAAUGCAGGCCAUUUCCUAUGCUAAAUUAAAUAUGAAGAACAUAUUUAGUUUUUCUUUUUUGUUUCUUUUCUUUUUUUUUUUUUUUUUUUUUUUUUUGUUUUUUUUGGGCUAGACAGAAUUAAAUAUACAACAUAACUAGAAUUUGAAUUGGGCCACAUUCCAGCCAAAUUCUUUUGAUAUCUUUUUGCCCUAUUGUUUGCGUGUAUCACGCUCUUAUAUACUAAUUUGGCAAGUGUUCCAAUGUCAAUCUUGGAUAAGGUUUGUUUACUAGAAA
rnacentral:lncRNA from 1 species